UACCCCGGCGAUUGAACAGCUCAAAUUUGAAAUCUGGCGUCUUCGGCGUCCGAGUUGUAAUUUGUAGAGGAUGCUUCUGGGCAGCCACCGACCAAGUUCCUUGGAACAGGACGUCAUAGAGGGUGAGAAUCCCGUAUGGUCGGAAAGGCACCCUACACGUAGCUCCUUCGACGAGUCGAGUUGUUUGGGAAUGCAGCUCUAAAUGGGAGGUAAAUUUCUUCUAAAGCUAAACAUUGGCCAGAGACCGAUAGCGCACAAGUAGAGUGAUCGAAAGAUGAAAAGCACUUUGGAAAGAGAGUUAAAAAGCACGUGAAAUUGUUGAAAGGGAAGGGAUUGCAACCAGACUUGCUCGCGGUGUUCCGCCGGUCUUCUGACCGGUCUACUCGCCGCGUUGCAGGCCAGCAUCGUCUGGUGCCGCUGGAUAAGACUUGAGGAAUGUAGCUCCCUCGGGAGUGUUAUAGCCUCUUGUGAUGCAGCGAGCGCCGGGCGAGGUCCGCGCUUCGGCUAGGAUGCUGGCGUAAUGGUUGUAAUCCGCCCGUCUUGAAACACGGACCAAGGAGUCUAACAUCUAUGCGAGUGUUCGGGUGUCAAACCCCUACGCGUAAUGAAAGUGAACGGAGGUGAGAACCGCGGUGCAUCAUCGACCGAUCCUGAUGUCUUCGGAUGGAUUUGAGUAUUGAGCAUACCUGUUGGACCCGAAAAAUGGUGAACUAUGCUUGAAUAGGGUGAAGCCAUAGGAACCUCUGGUGGAGGCUCCCACCGGUUCUGACGGCCAAAUCGAUCGUCAAUUUGGGGAAUGGGGGCGAAAGACUAAUCGAACCAUC
rnacentral:rRNA from 1 species